rnacentral:rRNA from 1 species
AGAGUUUGAUCCUGGCUCAGGACGAACGCUGGCGGCGUGCUUAACACAUGCAAGUCGAACGAAGAGCGAUGGAAGCUUGCUUCUAUCAAUCUUAGUGGCGAACGGGUGAGUAACGCGUAAUCAACCUGCCCUUCAGAGGGGGACAACAGUUGGAAACGACUGCUAAUACCGCAUACGAUCUAAUCUCGGCAUCGAGGAUAGAUGAAAGGUGGCCUCUACAUGUAAGCUAUCACUGAAGGAGGGGAUUGCGUCUGAUUAGCUAGUUGGAGGGGUAACGGCCCACCAAGGCGAUGAUCAGUAGCCGGUCUGAGAGGAUGAACGGCCACAUUGGGACUGAGACACGGCCCAGACUCCUACGGGAGGCAGCAGUGGGGAAUCUUCCGCAAUGGACGAAAGUCUGACGGAGCAACGCCGCGUGAGUGAUGACGGCCUUCGGGUUGUAAAGCUCUGUUAAUCGGGACGAAAGGCCUUCUUGCGAAUAGUGAGAAGGAUUGACGGUACCGGAAUAGAAAGCCACGGCUAACUACGUGCCAGCAGCCGCGGU